rnacentral:rRNA from 1 species
CCUACGGGGGGCAGCAGUGGGGGAUAUUGCACAAUGGGGGAAACCCUGAUGCAGCGACGCCGCGUGUGGGAAGACGGUCCUCUGGAUUGUAAACCACUGUCCCCAGGGACGAAGAUGACGGUACCUGGGGAGGAAGCUCCGGCUAACUACGUGCCAGCAGGCGCGGUAAUACGUAGGGAGCGAGCAUUGUCCGGAAUUACUGGGUGAAAAGGGAGCGUAGGCGGGGAUGCAAGUUGGGUGUCAAAACUACCGGCUCAACUGGUAGUCGCACUCAAAACUGCAGCUCUUGAGUGAAGUAGAGGCAGGCGGAAUGCCUAGUGUAGCGGUGAAAUGCGUAGAUAUUAGGAGGAACACCAGUGGCGAAGGCGGCCUGCUGGGCUUUUACUGACGCUGAGGCUCGAAAGUGUGGGGAGCAAACAGGAUUAGAUACCCCAGUAGUC